rnacentral:rRNA from 1 species
UACGUAGGUGGCAAGCGUUGUCCGGAAUUACUGGGCGUAAAGGGCGCGUAGGCGGUUAGGUAAGUCUUUGGUGAAAUCUUCCGGCUCAACUGGAAGCGGUCCGAGGAUACUGUCUGACUAGAGGAGCGCAGAGGAGAGCGGAAUUCCUGGUGUAGCGGUGAAAUGCGUAGAUAUCAGGAGGAACACCCGUGGCGAAGGCGGCUCUCUGGGCGGUACCUGACGCUGAGGCGCGAAAGCGUGGGGAGCAAACAGG